rnacentral:rRNA from 1 species
GGAGUCUAGCAUGUGCGCGAGUCAUUGGGAUAUAACUAAACCUAAAGGCGUAAUGAAAGUAAAAGUUCGUCUUGCACGGACUAAGGGAAGAUGGGUGAUCACUCGCCUCGCACUCCCGGGGCGUCUCAUUCUCAUUGCGAGAGGAGGCGCACCAAGAGCGUACACGCUGGGACCCGAAAGAUGGUGAACUAUGCCUGGUCAGGACAAAGUCAGGGGAAACCCUGAUGGAGGUCCGUAGCGAUUCUGACGUGCAAAUCGAUCGUCGGAACUGGGUAUAGGGGCGAAAGACUAAUCGAACCAUCUAGUAGCUGGUUCCCUCCGAAGUUUCCCUCAGGAUAGCUGGUGCUCGUUGCGUACGAGUUUCAUCCGGUAAAGCGAAUGAUUAGAGGCAUUGGGGUCGAAACGGCCUCAACCUAUUCUCAAACUUUAAAUGGGUGAGAUCUUCGGCUUGUUUGAACUGGUAAAGCCGCAAGACUCGAAUCAGAGUGCCAAGUGGGCCAUUUUUGGUAAGCAGAACUGGCGCUGUGGGAUGAACCAAACGCAGAGUUAAAGCGCCAAAAUCGACGCUUAUGGGAUACCAUGAAAGGCGUUGGUAACUUAAGACAUCAGGACGGUGGCCAUGGAAGUC